rnacentral:rRNA from 1 species
UACGUAGGGUGCAAGCGUUAAUCGGAAUUACUGGGCGUAAAGCGUGCGCAGGCGGUUUUGUAAGUCUGUCGUGAAAUCCCCGGGCUCAACCUGGGAAUUGCGAUGGAGACUGCAAGGCUAGAAUCUGGCAGAGGGGGGUGGAAUUCCGCGUGUAGCAGUGAAAUGCGUAGAGAUGCGGAGGAACGCCGAUGGCGAAGGCAGCCCCCUGGGCUAGCACUGACGCUCAGGCACGAAAGCGUGGGGAGCAAACAGG